rnacentral:snRNA from 1 species
AUAACUUUGUAACAUUGAUAUCU